AUCGAACGCUGGCGGCUUGCCUUACACAUGCAAGUCGAACGGCAGCACGGGAGCAAUCCUGGUGGCGAGUGGCGAACGGGUGAGUAAUAUAUCGGAACGUGCCCAGUAGUGGGGGAUAACUGCUCGAAAGAGCAGCUAAUACCGCAUACGACCUGAGGGUGAAAGGGGGGGAUCGCAAGACCUCUCGCUAUUGGAGCGGCCGAUAUCAGAUUAGCUAGUUGGUGGGGUAAAGGCCUACCAAGGCAACGAUCUGUAGUUGGUCUGAGAGGACAAACAGCCACAAUGGGACUCGGACGCGGACCAGACUGCUACGCGAGGCAGCAGUGGGGAAUUUUGGACAAUGGGCGCAAGCCUGAUCCAUCAAUGCCGCGUGCAGGAAGAAGGCCUUCGGGUUGUAAACUGCUUUUGUCAGGGAAGAAAUCCUCUAGGUUAAUACCCUUGGGGGGAUGACGGUACCUGAAGAAUAAGCACCGGCUAACUACGUGCCAGCAGCCGCCGCAGUAA
rnacentral:rRNA from 1 species